GACGAACGCUGGCGGCGUGCCUAAUACAUGCAAGUCGAGCGGACAGACGGGAGCUUGCUCCCUGAUGCUAGCGGCGGACGGGUGAGUAACACGUGGGUAACCUGCCUGUAAGACUGGGAUAACUCCGGGAAACCGGGGCUAAUACCGGAUGGUUGUCUGAACCGCAUGGUUCAGACAUAAAAGGUGGCUUCGGCUACCACUUACAGAUGGACCCGCGGCGCAUUAGCUAGUUGGUGAGGUAACGGCUCACCAAGGCAACGAUGCGUAGCCGACCUGAGAGGGUGAUCGGCCACACUGGGACUGAGACACGGCCCAGACUCCUACGGGAGGCAGCAGUAGGGAAUCUUCCGCAAUGGACGAAAGUCUGACGGAGCAACGCCGCGUGAGUGAUGAAGGUUUUCGGAUCGUAAAGCUCUGUUGUUAGGGAAGAACAAGUGCCGUUCAAAUAGGGCGGCACCUUGACGGUACCUAACCAGAAAGCCACGGCUAACUACGUG
rnacentral:rRNA from 1 species